GACGAACGCUGGCGGCGUGCUUAACACAUGCAAGUCGAACGGAAAGGCCCUGCUUUUGUGGGGUGCUCGUGUGGCGAACGGGUGAGUAACACGUGAGUAACCUGCCCUUGACUUUGGGAUAACUUCAGGAAACUGGGGCUAAUACCGGAUAGGAGCUCCUGCUGCAUGGUGGGGGUUGGAAAGUUUCGGCGGUUGGGGCUGGAUUCGCGGCUUAUCAGCUUGUUGGUGGGGUAGUGGCUUACCAAGGCUUUGACGGGUAGCCCGCCUGAGAGGGUGACCGGCCACAUUGGUACUGAGAUAGGGACCAGACUCCUACGGGAGGCAGCAGUGGGGAAUAUUGCACAGUGGGCGGAAGCGUGAGGCAGCAACGCCGCGUGCGGGAUGACGGCCUUCGGGUUGUAAACCGAUUUCGCCUGUGACGAAGAGUGAGUGACGGUAAUGGGUAAAGAAGCACCGGCUAACUACGUG
rnacentral:rRNA from 1 species